AGAGGGCAGGAGCACAGGCGCCACCCCCACCGAUGAGGCACGGAGUCCCAGGGGGUACAAGAGGGAACUGUCGGUCCCCGGGUGCCUACGAUCUUUGUCACAUGAUCCGGAGGAGGAGGAGGAGCUGUUUCUCAGACAAGGGGAUGCAGGGCCUGAGAACCCGACCACGCAGGGAAUCAGGUCCUGGCACGGCUGGCUGACUGCUCCUUCUGAACCUGCGUGCGCAGCUCUGGCUGCCUUUGCAGGAGGAAGUCCCCUAAUCCUGGGCCGUGGCCUCCAGCAUCUCCCUGUUUGGGGACAUCAUGCAGCCACUGACAGCCAAAUGCUUUGCCUCUUCGGGAAAACCACGAGGAGUAACAACACAUGGCCAUGUCUGGCUUCAUUCUCCACCCAAGUUAUACCUCCGCCUGGCUGUCAGCACUAACAGGACCACUGAAUUGGAGUCUGCAGGAUUUCAGGGGAGAACCCUGACCAUGCCCAAACUUUCAGAUAAGUGAAAAGUAAUCAGCAGAAUAAAAACUCUCCUCAUUGUCACCCCUUUCCCAUGUAGGACGCUUCAUAUGCUUCAAAGAACGCUCUCAUGUAUGCUGUCAUUGAGUCUUCAUGAUAACCCCAUGGUGUGGGCAGCCAAGGGAUAACACGGUCAGAGAGGCUGGGCCACCUGCCCGAGAUCCCACAGCCUGCAGGAAGGGGACUCUGAAGCUGAGCAUGUCCUCUUCCCUCCUUCCCUUGGGCACAGACCACCUGCUGUACAUGCUUGA